CUGGCUGCAGCAAGUUGUGCAGAGGUGUUGCACGCUGAGAGAAAAGAAAGCACGUUAUAUGAUACAUUCUGAUGAAUUCCGGUAACGGUUGACAGAAGAGAAGAUAAGUGACCUGAUCCUUGCAGUUAAAUCCAUUUCUGCUGUGAUUUUCUCCGAACCAUAUUCAACUUGGAACAUUGUCCAGCUGCAUACCACCACAGGCCUGGAUUGGAUGUGCUCCAGGUUUCAACCCAACACCUGAGACUGCUGGAUCCGCUGCCUGCUUUGCACUGGAUUAAGAUAAGGUUUUUAUCCAAAGAAACACACGGCCAUUGAAUUUUACAAAGACUUGACUGACUGACUUAAAUUUCAAAUACUGAACUAAAGAAAGGAACUGAACAAUAAGAAAUAUGGACUAAAAGAAAACACACUACCUGAUUUACACGUUCUGUUGAAAAAAUGUUUACAAUAACAUUUUAUUUAAUUUUGUAUUAAACAGUCUGUUCAUUUUU